rnacentral:tRNA from 1 species
CUUUUAUUGGCUCAGAGAGUAAAGCGUCUGCCUGCAAUGCAGGAGACCCAGCUUCAAUCCCUGGAUUAGGAA